rnacentral:rRNA from 1 species
UGGGGAAUUUUGGACAAUGGGGGAAACCCUGAUCAAGCCAUCCCGCGUGUGCGAUGAAGGCCUUCGGGUUGUAAAGCACUUUUGGCAGGAAAGAAACGUCAUGGGUUAAUACCCCGUGAAACUGACGGUACCUGCAGAAUAAGCACCGGCUAACUACGUGCCAGCAGCCGCGGUAAUACGUAGGGUGCAAGCGUUAAUCGGAAUUACUGGGCGUAAAGCGUGCGCAGGCGGUUCGGAAAGAAAGAUGUGAAAUCCCAGAGCUCAACUUUGGAACUGCAUUUUUAACUACCGGGCUAGAGUGUGUCAGAGGGAGGUGGAAUUCCGCGUGUAGCAGUGAAAUGCGUAGAUAUGCGGAGGAACACCGAUGGCGAAGGCAGCCUCCUGGGAUAACACUGACGCUCAUGCACGAAAGCGUGGGGAGCAAACAGG